rnacentral:rRNA from 1 species
AAUCUCCCUUGGAGAAUUGUAGUCUAUAGAAGCAUCCUCUGAAGCAGACGGAGCCCAAAUCUUCUGGAAAGGAGUGUCAGAGAGGGUGAGAACCCCGUCGGCUCUUGUCUUUGCUUCUCCACGAGGUGCUUUCGAAGAGUCGUGUUGCUUGGGAAUGCAGCACUAAUUGGGUGGUAAAUCCCAUCUAAGGCUAAAUACUGGCGAGAGACCGAUAGCGAACAAGUACCGUGAGGGAAAGAUGAAAAGAACUUUGAAAAGAGAGUUAAAAAGUGCUUGAAAUUGUUGAGGGGGAAGCGUUUGAAUGCUAUGGGUGCGCCUAGGCUUAUGGGUCUCUAACGAGCCUCUGUAUGUGCUAGGUGCUGGUCAGCAUGGGUUAGGUCCGCAGGAUAACAAUCGGGGUUGUUACCCGGUCUCUACUGCAGACCUGACCAAGGUGUGAAGAGCGCCCUUGUCCUUCGGGAACUGCGUUCUCAAGAUGCUGGCAGAAAGUAUUCAACCGACCCGUCUUGAAACACGGACCAAGGACCGGCAGA